GCACGUAGUUAGCCGUGGCUUUCUGGUAAGGUACCGUCAGAAUCAGUAUCAUUUCCUCUACUGAUUUUUCUUCCCUUACAACAGAGCUUUACAACCCGAAGGCCUUAAUCACUCACGCGGCGUUGCUCGGUCAGGCUUGCGCCCAUUGCCGAAAAUUCCCUA
rnacentral:rRNA from 1 species